rnacentral:rRNA from 1 species
GGUUUAGCAUGUAUUUUCUACAGGAAAUUGCCAUUGAAACUGUUAGACUUGAGAAUGGACGAGGUAGGCGGAAUUCGUAGUGUAGCGGUGAAAUGCAUAGAUAUUACGAAGAACUCCAAUAGUGUAGACUGCUUACCAGACCAUAUCUGACACUAAGGCACGAAAGUGUGGGUAUCAAACAGGAUUAGAUACCCUGGUAGUCCACACAGUAAACGAUGAAUACUAACUGUUUGCGAUAUACAGCAAGUGGUCGAGCGAAAGCGUUAAGUAUUCCACCUGGGAAGUAUGCCGGCAACGGUGAAACUCAAAGGAAUUGACGGGGGCCCGCACAAGCGGAGGAACAUGUGGUUUAAUUCGAUAAUACGCGAGGAACCUUACCCGGGCUCGAACGAUAUUUGAAUACAUCCGAAAAGAUGUAGCUAGCAAUAGCAAAUACCGAGGUGCUGCAUGGUUGUCGUCAGCUCGUGCCGUGAGGUGUCGACUUAAGUGUCAUAACGAGCGCAACCCUUACCGAUAGUUACCAUCAGAUAAUGCUGGGGACUCUAUUGGGACUGCCACCGUAAGGUGUGAGGAAGGAGAGGAUGACGUCAAAUCAGCACGGCCCUUAUGUCCGGGGCGACACACGUGUACAAUGGGAGAAACAAAGGGUCGCUACCUGGCAACAGGAUGCUAAUCUCGAAAAUCUCUCUCAGUUCGGAUUGGAGUCUGCAACCCGACUCCAUGAAGCUGGAUUCGCUAGUAAUCGCACAUCAGCCAUGGUGCGGUGAAUACGUUCCCGGGCCUUGUACACACCGCCCGUCAAGCCAUGGAAGCUGGAAGUACCUGAAGUAUGUAACUAAAAGAGCGUCCUAAGUAUCANNN